rnacentral:rRNA from 1 species
UGGGGAAUUUUGGACAAUGGGCGCAAGCCUGAUCCAGCAAUGCCGCGUGCAGGAUGAAGGCCUUCGGGUUGUAAACUGCUUUUGUACGGAGCGAAAAGGUCUGCCCUAAUACGGUGGGCUCAUGACGGUACCGUAAGAAUAAGCACCGGCUAACUACGUGCCAGCAGCCGCGGUAAUACGUAGGGUGCGAGCGUUAAUCGGAAUUACUGGGCGUAAAGCGUGCGCAGGCGGUUAUAUAAGACAGAUGUGAAAUCCCCGGGCUCAACCUGGGACCUGCAUUUGUGACUGUAUAGCUAGAGUACGGUAGAGGGGGAUGGAAUUCAGCGUGUAGCAGUGAAAUGCGUAGAUAUGCGGAGGAACACCGGUGGCGAAGGCAAUCCCCUGGACCUGUACUGACGCUCAUGCACGAAAGCGUGGGGAGCAAACA